AGAGUUCAAAAUAAUCAACCACAGUAUUUAAAUGUAAAUAAAUUAUUUGAAAGAUCUAAAGUUAGUUUUUGGCAUCAGAGAAUAGUUGAAAGGCGCAAUUUUUUUUUGUUUUCGUUUGCGAAGUAGUGAAUUAGAGAAUAGAAAAUUAUUGUGUGUGUUAUGUUACAGUCAACUGCAAAUUUGCUAGGUAGCACAUCUUCUGUUUGGAACAGCCAGUAUCUC